GAAUUGAAGAGCAUUGCAACAUUGACACUCUCUUCCUUCCUGUUUCAGAAUGAGAUCUAUCUGUUCCCCUUAACGUUGUUGCCGAGGAAAACGGUGAAGCUAAUGGAACUGAAAACAACAUAUCCAAGAGUUAACCCAACCCGGAACAAGAUCAGUUGUCGGUUCGGUUCCUAAAGUGGUGUUCGAGUGUUGUCUGCUGCAAGUAUAAAGUCUCAAAGAGAGGUUUUCUUGGUUAUACGCGGGGCUAGUGUUGUCGACGAGAGGUCCAAGUUCUUAGUUCGCCCUUUCUUGUUUAUUUGUUUGCGCUUAUUCCUAUGCUUUCCGUCUUUCCCGCUUACCCUCUCUCUCCUUUACCGCCUGAUUGAAAUCAAUUACAUAAUCUAAUGAUAUGUUAGGCAGUUUGUUUACUUACUUUUCUAUAUUAUGCUAGAUGAGCCCUUUCUUGUUGAGAAAGCCUUUAGUCAAUAUAGUUAUGGUCAGAAUCCAUUCCUUAUGAAGCCUUUGCGGUUCGAGUCAAGUCUAGGUUAGAAGAUAUUUUGGAAUGCCCAACGGAAUAUCCAAAGUAAGCAUAUGGAGCAGAUGAGGAAGCAGCGCUAAGAGAAUAAGAGGUUAAGUCAGAAGUAACGGUGAAGUAGGCUUUAUCUCCUUUCCUUGCCUAUUAGAAGGUGUUGUCAACAAGAAUCGAAUGGCCACGUAUGCUAUUCCAGUCUAGGUUUAGUAAGAAGAAAAAUCAUCCAGUACUGGUUUUGAAGCAAGGUGCUGAAAGCCUACCGCUUUCGUUCCUGUUUUCAUUCUAUAUUCCUGUUUUUGGCAACUGGGCAAGUAACUGAAUGUUCUUAACAGCGUCGGUAAAGGCUGAGUAGCGCAAGUAAGUAGCAAGACGCUCAACAAGUGUUGUCACUAAGGAGCCAGCAGUCAGAAGUUUUUAAGCAAAGGGGGAGUCAUCCGCAAGUGGGUCAUAACUUUAAGUAUAGGUUAGGUCGGCCAAAUCCGUAGAGGUCAGGUAGGCAAAGUCCAAGAAAAAGUCAGCAGCAAGA
rnacentral:lncRNA from 1 species